AGGGAAUCUUCCGCAAUGGACGAAAGUCUGACGGAGCAACGCCGCGUGAGUGAAGAAGGCCUUCGGGUCGUAAAACUCUGUUGCCGGGGAAGAACAAGUGCCGUUCGAACAGGGCGGUGCCUUGACGGUACCCGGCCAGAAAGCCACGGCUAACUACGUGCCAGCAGCCGCGGUAAUACGUAGGUGGCAAGCGUUGUCCGGAAUUAUUGGGCGUAAAGCGCGCGCAGGCGGUUUCUUAAGUCUGAUGUGAAAUCUUGCGGCUCAACCGCAAGCGGUCAUUGGAAACUGGGGGGCUUGAGUGCAGAAGAGGAGAGUGGAAUUCCACGUGUAGCGGUGAAAUGCGUAGAGAUGUGGAGGAACACCAGUGGCGAAGGCGACUCUCUGGACUGUAACUGACGCUGAGGCGCGAAAGCGUGGGGAGCAAAC
rnacentral:rRNA from 1 species